GUGCUUGCUUUGGCAGCACAUAUACUAAAACUGGAACAAUACAAAGAAGAUUAGCAUGGCCCCUGCGCAAGGAUAACACGCAAAUUCGUGAAGCGUUUCAUUUUUUU
ensembl:snRNA U6 U6 spliceosomal RNA